AAACGUUUGACACCAGUCAUGUGGGUGGAAAAUCAGUCUUUUGCAUUGGGGAGUUGUAAAGGUUCGGACCGCAAGGCCGGCUUUUGCUUCAUCUUUGGUGUAAGGGAUGCACUUUUUCAUCUACAGGUCAACAUCAGUUUCUUUUGCUGGACAAAACUCCGAGAGAAGGUAGCAGCUUAGGCUGUGUUAUAGCUCUGGAGCGAUACAGUGAAGGGGACUGAGGUUUUCGCAGCGUGUGCUCUCGGGCAAGGCUGGAUGGGUGCUAUGGGAUCGUUCGGGGUACAA
rnacentral:rRNA from 1 species